rnacentral:tRNA from 1 species
GAAGUCUUAGCUUAAUUAGAGCGUUUGAGUUGCAUUCAGAAGGUGUUGUUGUUUCAACAGGCUUUC